ACACUGAUGGUGAAGUGGUUAUCAUGCUUGCCUUCCAUAAAAUCCCACUCGAUCGAGGUAGCAAGCGGCAGGGGUUCGAUUCCCCUUCAGUGUA